rnacentral:rRNA from 1 species
UCGAGAAUUUUUCUCAAUGGGGGAAACCCUGAAGGAGCGACGCCGCGUGGGGGAUGAAUGGCUUCGGCCCGUAAACCCCUGUCAUUUGCGAACAAACCUUACGGUUUAAUACAUCGGAAGCUGAUUGUAGCGAAAGAGGAAGGGACGGCUAACUCUGUGCCAGCAGCCGCGGUAAUACAGAGGUCCCAAGCGUUGUUCGGAUUCACUGGGCGUAAAGGGUGCGUAGGUGGUGAGGUAAGUUUGAUGUGAAAGCUCCGAGCUUAACUCGGAAAUUGCAUCGAAAACUCUCUCACUAGAGGGUUGUAGGGGGGACUGGAAUUCUCGGUGUAGCAGUGAAAUGCGUAGAUAUCGAGAGGAACACCAGUGGCGAAGGCGAGUCCCUGGACAACUCCUGACACUGAGGCACGAAAGCUAGGGGAGCAAACAG